ensembl:lncRNA
CAUCUUAUGUGUGGGACAGGAACAAACACCUCUUAAUUGCACUUCAUUAUAACGUACCUUUCUCUUCUCGGUUGUAUAUAUUAAUUAUAAAAAUCAUGUUUCAGAGACGAAAAGCUGUACAAUAGGGUUUUUUUUUCCCUCCCUCCCUUAUGCUGUCUGCAGCAGGAUGGAAGAACAAUAUCAACUGUCAUCCACAGAAAGAGCUUAAGAGCUUUCAAAGACAAAUCAUAAAAAGAAUGAAAGGCUAUUAUAAAAAAAGGAGGAAAAUGCUUUGAUUUCACAGAUUUGCUACUUAUUAAUGUUUAAGGUUCUCUCUUCUUUUUAAAAGUAUCUUCUCAUAUUGUUUUGUAUGUGUUAUGUGCAGGUACAUCACUUUUUGAUGACUAUAUCACAUGACAUGUGCAUUACGUAGCUAAUUAUUAACGGAUGGAAGUUCAGGGGAUAAGAUGUGGGAAAAGAUACUAUAGCAGCCCUCCAGGACUCACAUCAGUUCUUCAGACAAAAUGUGGAAAACAUGAAUGUGAAUCGCAUGACACAAAGCAACACUACCUUUUCAGGUCUUUUUGUUUUUGUUUCUUUAGAGGGAUACUUCAAGAUCCUUGAAAAGCUCUGCAGGUGUAAAAGCUCCAUCUCCACUGCAGCUCCAUCAUAUGUGAAGUAGCCUUGUUGUGUGUGCUUCCAUGGCUGCCUCAGAACCGUGGGAGAAAACUUCAGAGCCAGUUCUGCAGUUCCAGUCCCAGCUUUGGAUCUGACCAUGCUACCUUCUAGAUGAAUGACAGCCCUUUGUACAUGGUACUCAGACUGUGAUGAUGUCUCCAAGCCUCAAACCCUGCAAGCUGGGGCUGAGCCUUUGUGUUUUAUGAUCUCCAGCCUUUCUCCAAUGUUCUGCAGUGAUUUCCAGGACAAAUUAUGACUGGAAGGAUGCAUUCAUGUAGAGAAGUAAAAGGAAUCUUGCAAGUACAGUAACCUACAGAUGACAGUCAGCAAGGAUUUGCAGGUACACCGAUCCUGAGGUAGAGAUGUCACUUUGGAGAUGUGACUGGAAAUCUGUCCUAAGAGCACUGACCAGGCCUCCUUCUGGCCUUGUGGAUUCUUCAUGCUUCCAUUUGGUUUCAGGCUUUUUGAUUUUUCCAUCCUCUAAAGGUACUACCUGUCCUUUGUAGGAUCUUUCUGUGUCUUUGUGUACAGAGAAUGCAUUGUAUUUCUUUAUUUUCUAUCAAGCACAUAGAGUAAUUGCUUUCACAGAAGAGCAAACAGAUGAAGUUAUAAAAGUGAGGAGCCUUAAAAUGUACUAGCUCAUCUCUAGCUGAUCUCUAACUACUGGUUGCUCAAUAAUCAUGCCCUAAUCCUGGUCUGUUUUCCAUCUCAACUUUACCCGUGUAUAAGCCACAACUUGGGCAAAUUAAUGUAUUUCCUAAUAUGUUUUCUCUUACAGAAAAUGCAAUAUAUGAACAAAUCUCCGAACUCCACUUGGGGAAUUCUCAAGUAACUCUCAUUUUACUAUCUAGUUGUCAUCCCUAACCAUGUAAACUUCUGUGUGUGUGUGUGUGUGUGUGUGUGGUAUAGCAAAAUAGCAACACCAUUUGGCAAGAGAUUUAUAUUUAGGAAGUGAAUGGAGGCUUUGAGAAACCCUGUAGUAGUUUUCAAACAUGUUUAGAAAACUGAUUAGAAAACUCUUUAGAAACUACCAUUCAGUUGAAGAAUAUUAUGUAUCUUUUAGAAACGCUGUUGGCUUUCAUAGACUGCUUGGAAUAUCUUAGUGUCAGUAUUGGGAAAAUAUAUUCCUUCGUGCACUGUGAUAUAUUUCUGCAAAGCAAACUUACUACCAACUAGAACAGGUUUUCUUUCCUGUGGUUUCUCAUCUGUUUCUGCUCAGUCAAGGUGCAUCUGGGAAUACAUUUCCCCUUGCAGCAGCAGGUGGCGUUGAAUAGCACACGUUAUUCUCACACUUACAAUUAUUUUGUCUCAUAUGUAGUAAAACCUCCUCUCCCAAAAGAGAUAACCCACAAGAGAAAUUCAACAAGUUUUUAUAGAUGUAGCAGAUGCUCUACAUGACAGGGGGUAGGGGUCAAAUUCUUCCAGCUUUAAUUACACUGAGAAAUAAGACCAUAAAUAAUGUAUUUAAGGAGCAGCAAAAGUAAAUGCAUUACAUUAUUUUUUUAAUUAAUUUUUCUUUACAUUUUUUUACCCACAAAAAUCUCUUGGCUUGCUCUUGCAGCACCACAGAGUUCAUGUUGUGGUACGGUGAUGUUUAUCAUGUACCAGUACUCAUUCACCCUGCAGAAAUUUGCAAACCUGAGUUUGUUUUGUGGCUUUCUUCAUCCACAUUACCUCCAUGGAACAAAGGAAUUGAUUCUUCUCCCAAAAACAUUAUCAUUGCAUCUUCAUGCAGUACAGUGCAGUGUUUCAGAUUUACACUGUGGUGAGAACAGAAUGAGAAUUAGUAUUUUCCAAACUUUUCGCUGAAGCUUUUUCUAAAAACUACGGAAUAUUGCAGAAUCAGUUCAAAACAGACCUUCACAUGACUUCCUAAGCUUAUUUUUUAAAUAUCAUACAAAUAAAAUAAAAUGAUAUCUUUAUGUGCACACAAGUAAAACCUAAGAAUGAAAUAGAAACCUUUUACAAGCAAGUGACUGUACCUCGGUCUGUAGUCAGUCUUAGCAGUGAUUAUGAGUAUUUAAGAAAUCCAUCCAUCUUCCUUUCAUCAACAGUCACUUUUGCAUUUGCAUAUCUAAUAAUUUAUGGCAUGUCCUGACCCCAAGCAGUAAUUGAACCAAUAGAUCUUCAGACCAGAUUUACACUGGUCUGGCUGCCACAGUAAUGUAACUCUGCAGGAGUUUUGGAUUAUUCCAAAUGCCAUCUCCUCUUCUGAGAGACUCACAGUCACGGGCUAAAUUUUACCUCCAAAUGUCAAGGCAGAAACUCUAUAGCUUAGUUUAAACUAUCUAGCUCUCCUUUUGGAAUACUUUAGAUAAAAACAGGAGGCACAGUGAUCACUCUCAACAUUGCCCUUGGUAGACUGAUUUUAAUGUAAGAUUCUGUAACAAUAAAUUAAUUCUCCUAAGAGUAUAAAACCAUGGAAGAGCCUGAAGUGUAGAAAUGAAAGGAGGAAAUCUAUAGCAGAGUUUGUAAAUGGUAAUGUAAAAAAAAAAUAGAAAUAAAAGGGGAGAGACACUGUUAUGUUGGUGAGGGCUCUGAUGAUCACAAACAGGCUGAUGAGAAUCGAGCUUCAAGUAGGAGAUAGGGUGCUCUUCUGACUUGAGCAAGCCAUGGCACAGCACAAAACCCAGCCAACUGCCUGUGUUUCUUCUUCUCAAAAUGUGAUUUAGAGACCAAUUUCAAGGCAGCAUUAUAUGCUUCAGUAAAGGGUUCUCAAAAGCUUUGAAUAAGAAAAAUACCAGCAAACACACAGCUCUGCACUGUUGCAGGCACUUUGCUGAAUACUAAGUAUUGAGAAAAUACAGCAAUAGAAGUUGUGUCUUUUCCAGCAGGUAUUCCUUGGGGAAAAUCUCUCACUGCUCUUCACCUGUUUCUGACUGUAACAGAAGAGUCAGGUGCACAGACCGGUCACACUGCUGCUGCUUCCAAACAGUAUUCCAGACAUUAUAAAAAGAUGCUGGGUCUGAAAUUUUAUAACAAGUCUCAUCAGUUGGCUGUUUUAUUUUCCUGGAAAGGAGCUCAACUGAACAAGCUCUGGCAGACACACAGAGCUAUGCUGUUGCCACUGACAGGAGUCCCAGAACAACACAUACAGUCUGUGAGAAAAUGCUACUGUCUCACAACUGUGGAAAAAAAAGAAAAGAGCAGCAAAGGUACGAACGAGGGAUGCAGUAUUAAUCUAUUGAUGAUUAAGUGCUGCCAUUGUUCCUUAAUAGCUAAGUUCAAUGAUGAUAGACAUCCUGAAAAAUAGAUAGAUAGACAGAAAGAUAGAUAUCCUCAGCUACAUCAACCAUCCAUAAUAUCCCAUGUGCUGCCAUCACUGCUUUGCCUGACCAAUUGCCUGUGUAACCUGUUCCAUCUUGUAUGAUCAAUAUUAGCACUUCACUAAGCAUGCAGUUACAGCUAUCUGCUAGCAAAGGAAGAACCUCAUCUUGCCUCUUUGUAAUGAAAGAUGAUCAUCUUGAAGAAGAAAUGCAAUUUCCUAUACCGAUACUUUCAUUUAAUUGUUUUCAGUGACUUGUUUGAUGCCUGUGUUCUACUUAUUAUGUAAAUAUAGCAAAAAGCAAAGUAUCAGAAAAUGAAUUAACAUUGAAAAGUUGAACAGGAAAACAGGGUUUGAUGUCCAAGCAAUGUCUCUGUGCCUCAGUUUUCCAUAAUUAAAGUGAGAUUAACAAUACCAUAACCACCUUUUGUGAGAUUCUUGUGGAUCAUUGAUUAGCAGACGUAAAAAGUUUCAGGGGCAGAAAUUCCCCUGGUGCCUCCAAAUAGUAAGUGGGCUGUGAUUCUCUUAGGAACUGACUGAGAUACCAAAGAAUGAUAAGAUACAGUAGCGCAGGAUCAAAAGGAGAGGAAGACAGGUCUCUGUGCAGUAUGGGAAUGACAGCACAGGAAGAAAAAUAUUGCUGGCCCUACCACCCUAAUCCUCUCAUUAACUGCCUAAGGGAGGACAGCACAGAAGAGGAAGUUCUUUAUCCCACCCAGCCACUGCUGAAAGAGUGGGUGUUCCUGGUGAGCAUCAGGAUAAAAACAGCAAAUACCAGCGAGAGACAGACAUUGUGACAUCUCCCUUGGCAUGGAAAUACAAAACGGUGGGAAGCUCCCUGUGCAGUGUGUGUGGUUGCAGUAAGAUCUCCUUGCCAUUACGCAGGAGGGGAUAAAUCUUGUUUCAAUGAAGCUGAAAGCAGUGCAGCUCAGCUGAAAUUAUCUGCAAAAAACAUAAGAAUGAAAAGGCCCCUGCCCUGUAAGUUGAUGUCUCCUGUGUUUCUGGCUCCCCUAUCAAUACUGUCUUUUUCGCUCUCUUUUUUUUUUUUUCUCAUGUCAG